rnacentral:lncRNA from 1 species
CCGCAAAAAGCAACCGAAAACCCAAACGAAUUCUAUCUUCAACAGCUUUUUGUAAAUGCAAAAGGAGAAGGAUUUGAGUUUUAUGAAGUUUCAGUGACUAACUCGACUUCAAUCCUUAUUUGAUUAUGUUUUUCCAAAGUUUUGGUUCUAAAUUUGACCUCGAAACUCUUUUCUUUUUUCCUUUUUUUUUGAAUUUCCCCAAGAAAACAAAGACAAAAUUUCUCAGCUCUUUCGUGUGCGUUUUUGCCUUAAUGAAUGAGAGAAUAAGACCAUGAAGGAAAUGGGGUUUUCUGGUUUUUUUUUAGGAAAAUGAAAAUGA